rnacentral:rRNA from 1 species
AACCCAGUGUGAUUCGUCACACUAUCAUUAACUGAAUCCAUAGGUUAAUGAGGCGAACCGGGGGAACUGAAACAUCUAAGUACCCCGAGGAAAAGAAAUCAACCGAGAUUCCCCCAGUAGCGGCGAGCGAACGGGGAGGAGCCCAGAGCCUGAAUCAGCAUGUGUGUUAGUGGAAGCGUCUGGAAAGGCGCGCGAUACAGGGUGACAGCCCCGUACACAAAAGCGCAUGUGCUGUGAGCUCGAUGAGUAGGGCGGGACACGUGGUAUCCUGUCUGAAUAUGGGGGGACCAUCCUCCAAGGCUAAAUACUCCUGACUGACCGAUAGUGAACCAGUACCGUGAGGGAAAGGCGAAAAGAACCCCGGCGAGGGGAGUGAAAAAGAACCUGAAACCGUGUACGUACAAGCAGUGGGAGCACCCUUUGGGUGUGACUGCGUACCUUUUGUAUAAUGGGUCAGCGACUUAUAUUCUGUAGCAAGGUUAACCGAAUAGGGGAGCCGGAGGGAAACCGAGUCUUAACCGGGCGUUAAGUUGCAGGGUAUAGACCCGAAACCCGGUGAUCUAGCCAUGGGCAGGUUGAAGGUUGGGUAACACUAACUGGAGGACCGAACCGACUAAUGUUGAAAAAUUAGCGGAUGACCUGUGGCUGGGGGUGAAAGGCCAAUCAAACCGGGAGAUAGCUGGUUCUCCCCGAAAGCUAUUUAGGUAGCGCCUCGUGAAUUCAUCUCCGGGGGUAGAGCACUGUUUCGGCUAGGGGGCCAUCCCGGCUUACCAACCCGAUGCAAACUGCGAAUACCGGAGAAUGUUAUCACGGGAGACACACGGCGGGUGCUAACGUCCGUCGUGAAGAGGGAAACAACCCAGACCGCCAGCUAAGGUCCCAAAGUCAUGGUUAAGUGGGAAACGAUGUGGGAAGGCCCAGACAGCCAGGAUGUUGGCUUAGAAGCAGCCAUCAUUUAAAGAAAGCGUAAUAGCUCACUGGUCGAGUCGGCCUGCGCGGAAGAUGUAACGGGGCUAAACCAUGCACCGAAGCUGCGGCAGCGACACUGUGUGUUGUUGGGUAGGGGAGCGUUCUGUAAGCCUGUGAAGGUGUGUCGUGAGGCAUGCUGGAGGUAUCAGAAGUGCGAAUGCUGACAUAAGUAACGAUAAAGCGGGUGAAAAGCCCGCUCGCCGGAAGACCAAGGGUUCCUGUCCAACGUUAAUCGGGGCAGGGUGAGUCGACCCCUAAGGCGAGGCCGAAAGGCGUAGUCGAUGGGAAACGGGUUAAUAUUCCCGUACUUGGUGUUACUGCGAAGGGGGGACGGAGAAGGCUAUGUUGGCCGGGCGACGGUUGUCCCGGUUUAAGCGUGUAGGUGUGUGUUCCAGGUAAAUCCGGUUCACUUUAACACUGAGGCGUGACGACGAGGCACUACGGUGCUGAAGCAACAAAUGCCCUGCUUCCAGGAAAAGCCUCUAAGCAUCAGGUAACAUCAAAUCGUACCCCAAACCGACACAGGUGGUCAGGUAGAGAAUACCAAGGCGCUUGAGAGAACUCGGGUGAAGGAACUAGGCAAAAUGGUGCC